rnacentral:rRNA from 1 species
UGGGGAAUAUUGCACAAUGGGCGGAAGCCUGAUGCAGCGACGCCGCGUGAGGGAUGACGGCCUUCGGGUUGUAAACCUCUUUCAGCAGGGACGAAGCGCAAGUGACGGUACCUGCAGAAGAAGCGCCGGCCAACUACGUGCCAGCAGCCGCGGUAAGACGUAGGGCGCGAGCGUUGUCCGGAUUUAUUGGGCGUAAAGAGCUCGUAGGCGGCUUGUCGCGUCGUCCGUGAAAACCCGGGGCUCAACCCCGGGCUUGCGGUCGAUACGGGCAGGCUCGAGUUCGGUAGGGGAGACUGGAAUUCCUGGUGUAGCGGUGAAAUGCGCAGAUAUCAGGAGGAACACCGGUGGCGAAGGCGGGUCUCUGGGCCGAUACUGACGCUGAGGAGCGAAAGCGUGGGGAGCGAACA